AUUGAACGCUGGCGGCAGGCCUAACACAUGCAAGUCGAACGAGUGGCGGACGGGUGAGUAAUGUCUGGGAAACUGCCCGAUGGAGGGGGAUAACUACUGGAAACGGUAGCUAAUACCGCAUACCAUCGGAUGUGCCCAGAUGGGAUUAGCUAGUAGGUGGGGUAACGGCUCACCUGGGCGACGAUCCCUAGCUGGUCUGCGAGGAUGACCAGCCACACUUGAACUGAGACACGGUCCAGACUCCUCCGGGAGGCACCAGUGGGGAAUAUUGCACAAUGGGCGCAAGCCUGAUACAGCCAUGCCGCGUGUAUGAAGAAGUCCUUCGGGUUGUAAAGUACUUUCAGCGAGGAGGCGUUACUCGCAGAAGAAGCACCGGCUAACUCCGUGCCAGCCGCCGCGGUAAUUC
rnacentral:rRNA from 1 species